rnacentral:rRNA from 1 species
UACGUGAGCAGCAAGCGUUGUUCGGAGUUACUGGGCGUAAAGGGUGUGUAGGCGGUUCUUUAAGUUUGGUGUGAAAUCUCCCGGCUCAACUGGGAGGGUGCGCCGAAUACUGAGGGACUAGAGUACGGGAGAGGAAAGUGGAAUUCCUGGUGUAGCGGUGAAAUGCGUAGAUAUCAGGAGGAACACCGGUGGUGUAGACGGCUUUCUGGACCGACACUGACGCUGAGACACGAAAGCGUGGGUAGCAAACAGG